CAAGAAUCACACAGAAAAGGGAGGCAAAGGGGCCUACAGGGCUAGUAGCUUAUACGUUGUUGAACGUCCUGCCUGGACCCGGAGCCGCCCCCAUCUAAACCCUCUGCGUACCUGUCCCUUCUUGCUUCCCCCGGCAUCUCGUCGGGGGGAGGUAACAACCAAAACUCUCUGUGAAUCAAACAGCCGUCAGAAUUAUAAAACAAACAAAAGUUAAAACUUUCAACAACGGAUCUCUUGGUUCCCACAUCGAUGAAGAACGCAGCGAAAUGCGAUAAGUAAUGUGAAUUGCAGAAUUCAGUGAAUCAUCGAAUCUUUGAACGCACAUUGCGCCCCCUGGUAUUCCGGGGGGCAUGCCUGUUCGAGCGUCAUAAAAACCUCCUCCCCCUUCGGGUUUUGUUACUAUCGUUGGGGGGUUUUGGCCUAAUGGGAUAGCGAUUGGCAAUUCGUUUCCCAAUGUCCUAAAUAGACGUAGACCCGCCUCCAGAUGCGACAGCACCGAGGCCAUCAACCGUGGAGUUAUGGGAUAUAAUAGGCUUGCAGUAAAAUGCUCACCUCUCUCCACACGCCGAUGGCACGACAGUUGCAGUUGCGGGCGUAAAUUGGAGCCCUUUUCAGGACCCUUGUGGCCUAGCAUCCACCAUACAUAAUUUGACCUCGGAUCAGGUAGGGAUACCCGCUGAACUUAAGCAU
rnacentral:rRNA from 1 species